rnacentral:lncRNA from 1 species
GAGACCACUAAGGAAGGAGGGAGGAUACCUUCUGUUCCCGUGUUCAGGCUCCAAUGUAUCCAGGUCACAGGAGGCUGCCUCUCCAGGCAGAGAAACUGAUCCGUCCCUAUCAGUGCCAGGCAGAGGGCAGGGGAUUUCGCACCUGAGCAAGGGUUGGGAUGACUCCCAAGCUUCCAUUCUCCCUGGAGUUCCUCCCGAGGGUCUCUGUGACACAGAGGAGGAAGCAGGAGCUUUCUUUGCAUAAUCAUGGUCAAAUAUUUAUAUUUGUUUAGGAUUUGCUUCUAUAGGAUGUUUUCGUCAUUCAAAUCUAUUUCCAAAAUAAAUCUGGAUCUCUUUUAUAAGAAAAUGCAAUGAAAACACCAGAAUGAUAGAGUAAGAAAAUAGAACUGAAAUUACUGAAAAGGAGCUGAGGAAUUAGAUGUUGCCAGGCAUCUGAGAUGAGAUGAUUAAAACAGCCAGGUGGCUCUGAGCUAAGGCAAAAGGCAGAAUCUGGGGCAACACAGUUUAUAUCAUCUGACAACAUAAAGCAUGCACAUCCUUUGUGUCAAGCCGCACUGCUUCCUGGAACAAACUCAAGGCAGAAUUUAUUACCUGGGUUCCUGUUUAAGUGCAUGUCGAAUGACCAGUUGAUGAAAGCCUUCAAAUAAAGUUUUGCAAAAGAACAAAGAAUGAGACGUGGAGUACUGACCCUCUCUGAAAGGAUACCAGAAUUAAGACUACAGAAGCCGACCCAACAUUUGCUCACUACCUUUUAAAUUGGACUUAAUGCCAUAUUUUAAAAAAUAACCACUUUUAAAAUAAUUUUUGCUUAUAUCAAAAGUAAUACAGGUGAAUUUCAGGAAAUUUGUAAAAUACAGCUUCAAAGAGAGAGGUGGAGAGAGAGAGAGAGAGAGAAAUCUAUCAUCUAUCACUCACCACUAUUAACAUUUUAGUGUCAUCUUCCCAUGUUUUUGUUUAUGCAUAGAUAUGCAUAUCUAUUUUGCAAAGAUAAGAAAUUACUAUAUCUUUUAAACGUUUUUAUUUGAUAAUGUACUAUGAAUAUUUCCCAUUCAAUUAAAUACCUCUACAGUGACACUGAAUGCUUAUGAUACUGUAUUGAUAUUAAUAUUGUAGAAUACAUCAGGAAGAUAUUAUUACAAUAUGUUUAACCAAUCCCCUGGAUGCUAGAUAUUUGGGUUUCUAACAUUUCAUCUUUUUAAAUAAUUCUGUGAUGAACAUCUGUUCGCAGGGUACCCUCCAUGACCAGUUGUGUUUCAGAGAAGGCAGAUCUAGUCCAUUCAAGGCCAGGAUCCCCCGGAGGUCAGUACAUUAUUUGCCCAGUGAACUGUGGGCAUAUCUAUACUUUUUGCACUUUUCCAGGCAGGAAGGAGGAAGUAGUACUGAGAACCCACUGUCUUGGGUUAAGGAGCAUUCUCUGGGCUGCUUAGGGGAGAAGAUUUCUAUCCCAAGGUCCUGCAGCCUUGGGGUAAGAUGGGAGCAGAGAAGACAGAGUGUGGGGCCACUGUGGAGGCAGCAGGGAGGGGUUCCUUGUGGCCACUGAUCGGAGCCCUCAUAUUCCUUGUGGGGAGGCUCUAAUUUCUCCAGAGAUGCUUCUCUACUUGGAGGUCUGCCCUGUGUCGGGAGCAUUAGUGGCCCUGCAGAGAGGUGGGACGUUAUUUGGAUACUCUUGCUCGUAGGGAGUUUGUUGCCUCCCAAAAGGUGUGUGGCAUUUGUAAGUUGUUCUCCUUUUCCAUGGUUCUUCAGAAGACUUGAAUAUGGUUUGUAAUCUAGGCACCAAAAUUGAAAUUCCCUCCAAAGAGCCACACAAAUAAAUGACCUCCCAUACCAUUAAGUUCUCUCUAUGCAUGGCAAUCCCUAGUUAACCUCAGACAGGUAAGAAGAGAGAGUGUUUUUCAUCAAUGACAAGGAAAGUUUUUUCUGGCUAAUGUGGUAUAGUAGCAAAUGCAACUAAAAAGGACACCCCCAAGCAUGUCUUUAAUUCAUUUGUACACAUCCAACAACAUCACUUUUAAGUACACAUAGGUAGGAUAAAUAUUUAGUCAUUAAGUAUCUGAAGUUAUUGUAAUUCUAUUUCAGCACUAUUCUUUUCCCUACAUUAAAAAAAAAUUUCUAGACUGUGCUUCAACCUCAAAGGACAUACCUUGGACAGAAUAUUCCAUUAAAGACAUUGUUGGAGCAACUUUUAUUAUUCAUUAGUGUGUUUUAAAGUGGACCUGAACAGAAAUGCUUUUUGCUAAAGUAAAAAUACAUCCGUUUCUAUGAUCUAAUUGUGCAAUUGGUUAGAAUUUCUAUCUAUCAGUUCAAAGGGAAACUUGGUUUCAGUGAAUUUGUUUUUAAUAAAAAUGUGCUAUCUAUGAUAAAUAUAUUUCACUUUGUUCAAAUGGAUUUGAUUGGGAAAACAUAUUGAGCAGAAGUACUGGUACAGCUUAAUUUCAUUGCUUUGAGAAAACGUAUUGAAUGCUGGUUUGAAUUAAAUUCUAUUUGUUUUAAUAAAAGUGUAUUGGCCUGAGUGUACAUAUAUUUGUUUUAGUGGUAGUGCAUUGGAUCCAAUAAAACUAUAUUGGCUUCACUGCUUAUGUCUCCUUUUCAGUGAAAAUGGAUUGAAUGGGAAAACGAAAUAGGCAUGAAGCAGCCAGCCCCAAGGUCUCUGUUUGGUAAGAGUAUCCAAACA